GAUGAACGCUGGCGGCGUGCCUAAUACAUGCAAGUCGAGCGAACGGACGAGAAGCUUGCUUCUCUGAUGUUAGCGGCGGACGGGUGAGUAACACGUGGAUAACCUACCUAUAAGACUGGGAUAACUACGGGAAACCGUAGCUAAUACCGGAUAAUAUUUUGAACCGCAUGGUUCAAAAGUGAAAGACGGUCUUGCUGUCACUUAUAGAUGGAUCCGCGCUGCAUUAGCUAGUUGGUAAGGUAACGGCUUACCAAGGCAACGAUGCAUAGCCGACCUGAGAGGGUGAUCGGCCACACUGGAACUGAGACACGGUCCAGACUCCUACGGGAGGCAGCAGUAGGGAAUCUUCCGCAAUGGGCGAAAGCCUGACGGAGCAACGCCGCGUGAGUGACGAAGGUCUUCGGAUCGUAAAACUCUGUUAUUAGGGAAGAACAUAUGUGUAAGUAACUGUGCACAUCUUGACGGUACCUAAUCAGAAAGCCACGGCUAACUACGUG
rnacentral:rRNA from 1 species